CUAGUGCCCCCACCCAGGAGGUUUGCUGUGGCACCCUAAGGGUCUGGAUAUGGGCCAGGAAGGAAGGAAGGGAAAGAGCCAUGCCUGUGUGCUUCAGUCUUUGGCCUCCUCACAGUUGUUUAGGAAGAGCAAGCUUUGAGAACAUCUGGGAGUCCAACCCCCUGUCCCCAUCCUGACCCCUGCAUUCGGGACUGUUGGAUCCACUCUGGGACGGAUCACUCCUAGGCCCAACUGCUGGCCUCCUGACUCUAACGCCUUCACUGGAACUGGGACAUUCGUUCCAGCCCUAGCUGUGAACAUGACCAGAGACAUUAUUUAUAACUCAGCCAUUUAAGAUAUACCUGUACUCAAAAAAGUCUUGUAUAUUUUUUAAAAGUUUUAUUUUUCAGGUGAACAAAAAUACAUUCUAAGAACUCUACGUAA